CGAGGGGUAGUUUAAAAUUCAGAAUUUUGGCUUUGGGUGUCAGUAGCGGGAGUGAAAAUCUUCCCCCCUCGA
rnacentral:tRNA from 1 species